rnacentral:rRNA from 1 species
CCUACGGGUGGCUGCAGUGGGGAAUUUUGGACAAUGGGGGCAACCCUGAUCCAGCCAUGCCGCGUGAGUGAAGAAGGCCUUCGGGUUGUAAAGCUCUUUCGGCGGGGAAGAAAUGGCAACGGCUAAUAUCCGUUGUUGAUGACGGUACCCGCAUAAGAAGCACCGGCUAACUACGUGCCAGCAGCCGCGGUAAUACGUAGGGUGCGAGCGUUAAUCGGAAUUACUGGGCGUAAAGCGUGCGCAGGCGGUUUCGUAAGACAGACGUGAAAUCCCCG